GGCUAUUGUAAGGACUUUGGAUUUUACUCUGAAUGAAACGGGAAGCCACUGGGACUAUUUUAAUAUUUUAAGCCACUGAAGGUCAUAUCAAGAAAUGACUUGGAAAAGAAGUCUUAACACAAGACUUUUAUUCAUUCAUUUAUUGUUAUACUUUUCAAUAAGUCAUUCAUUCAUUUAUUCAACAAUAUUUCUUGAGCGCCAAGUACGGACCAGGCAUGGAACUAGAUAGGCACUAAGAACACAGUGGUGAACACGGCCAACACGUCCCCAUGUGCUAGGAGUUUACAGUCAAUGGAAAAUGCUAAAGACAUAAAUACGGAGGAUUGACGGGGCCAGUCGAAGAGGCCCAGAAGCAACUCUAAAAAGAGACCUUUCAGUAAAUCUCAAAGGACAUUUUCACUGCUUUGGUUUACAACUUAAGGAAAAGACGUAUCAUAUUCAAGUGUAUAUAAAUACCCAGAGCUACACGUUGAACUCCCUUCCUCUAGCCCUUCAAGUGCUAGAGGACUAAAGAAAGAUUUGCUCUCGCUAGAAGUUCUACGCCAGUCCUUCGGUAAUGGCUGCCUGUUGAUUCUGCUGAAAUGGAUUUCUGACCACAUCCGGGCUACGUGGGUGCUGCGAUCUAUUGGUACUGUCUGCCACAGGCAUAGCCUGAAGAACAGCUCUAAUACUACAGUGGCAGACUAUGAAUUCACUCACUCAACAAGGAGGUCAGAACAGGAAGAGCGGCCAAAGCACAUACAGCCUCGCAGCCCUGGGAAUUUCAGCAUCUCUGAGCCAACAAGGAAACUGUUAGAUGAUAAAAAAGAGACACCAGGAUCUAAACCCUGGCGGAAGGACCAUCAGAGCCCCAAGUUUCAAAACGCUCCCUAGGGAAUGGAACUGUGUGGAC
rnacentral:lncRNA from 1 species